CUUACCUGCCAAUUUCCUCGGCAAUGAUGUAAUCCAUUUCAAUGGGCUCGGAUUUAAAUUGUUUCAUGUUUUUAGCUUUCUCUCUUUAUUACCCGUUUGAUGUUACUUUUUGGUAGCCGUUCAACUUUAAUAUUUAUGCUUUUCUUGGCUUUUUUUCAAUGUAACUUUUUGUGUUUUUGUUUUAAUUCACUGCUGAUAAUACGAUGAUGAAUACGGUAAUGAUGUAUUUGUUUACACUUCAUCUAUGGUGACUGUACAAUUAAACACUGGAGAAGGUUAUAAACGAGGAUUCACAGUGACAAUUGCAGAUUAAAACAUGGUGAUAUCGAGAAGAUGAGGUUAAACAUGAUUAUGGUUUCAAUACACAAACAAAAGUAAACUUAAGCUUUGGAGAAAUAAAUAUACACGGAUAAUGUUGACGUUGAUAUGGAACAGGUCAAAAACAAAAACAAACUAUGCAUGAAGGUUAACACAGAUGAUGAUGUCCACUUGUCAAAAUACUCGACAUGGUCCACAGUGACAUGGAUGGUAACUUGAUGACCAACUGGUAGAGGGAAUGUUUACGUUAAGAUGAAGAUCACACCUAUUGACAAGAUCACUGGACGUAAAUGAUGAGAGGAUGUAGAUAAAGAAGAUUCCAAUGAAGAAAGAAUGGCAAAUCUCGUUGUGACUUUUUUUUACUGAUGUUUCAGAUUCCUCUUCCACCUCCAAACCUGAUGUUUAACGAUUUCUGGUGCAUACUGAAUCAAAGAUAAACCAACCUUCAGGAUGAAAGUUAUUAAGCUUCGGUAUCAAGAUGAAUUCAUUAAAUUGGAACUGCUUGGAUCUUCAAUUCUAUGAAACUUUUAGAGUUUGGUAUUUCAUUAUAUUCCUAUUACCUGAGGUUAUCUGAGCGGCAAACUUUCUUAUUCUACCAUUUGCUUCAGUCUAUGAUUUCAAUUAGAGCAAUUGCGAUGUCACUUUCACUUUAUUGAUAUUGAGCUCAAUAAGUUUGUUUAGAAGUGACUGCAAAUUAUGGAAUCUCUAUGGCAAUUUAGCGAAAGUAAAGUGAUACUAAUUAUGAUAAUUAAUUCCACUCUGAUUUAACAAUUACUCAUUAACCAUUAAUACACUCAAUGGCAUUACCAAACAGUUAACUCAGACCCAACAUCAGGACAGUUGAUUAACCCUUAAGGUAUUGUUAAAAUUACUUUUGGAUUCGAUAUAUUUCAAGUUGCAUUCAAUAAUGAAUAACUGGUUAUUAAUACACAUGUCAACACUUACAACUUCAUCUUGUUCCUGGUUAAUGAUUAAUGCAGAAUCUGGUUAUGAUGAUGAUACCAAAAUGUGAUUGGAAUCGGUCUUCAUUCUGGGUAAUCAAGUUGGUAGUGCGUCUCACAACUGAAACACUUUUUUUAUAUAAAUGGUUAUAAAAUGAUCAAGAUUUUGUUACAUCGCUUACUACCUUAGGAGACAUUUUGAGGUCAAGAGAAGCAAUAAUAAUUUAAUCAACAGCAGACUCACAUGCAGCAGACAAGUUGUUAACAGUUUACCAUCAACAACAUCAACAUACAAACCUAAUACAACCAGCACAAUCAAAAGACAAAGAUAACUCACGGUUAAUCGUUCAAUAGCAACAUCUCUUUUCAACACUCUGAUAAAAGUGACUUGAUUUCAUCAGAAAAAAUAAUAAUGGCUACCAACAAAACUCAGCAUGUCUUUUUGUUACUGUCAACCACCAACAUGGUGUGACCUGUUGCUGCAACAAUCAACUUUAAUCAUCAUCACCAUAAUCAUUUCCCAACAAUGAUAACAACAAAGUAAAUCCUCUACUUUUUUUUCUCCGUUUAAUUCAUCAAAAAAAGGAGAAUGAAUAAAAUUAAAAGGAUAAAAUAUUCAUGGUUAUUUGACCAAGGCAACUUUGUUAUUUAAUCUUUUACCAAUCAAUGAACAAAGCUUUCACAUCAUGAGGAGAAAGACGAAGUUAAAGUUGUUCGCUAUCACCAUGAAAGAUGUUUAAUCAAGGUGGAAUCAAUUUGACUUUCUAAUGGCAAAUUUUAGUCUUUUACUCAACCUUUGAACCAGUUGAACAAAGUUGAUUUUGGAUGAAUAAAGUCCUGUUAUUGAUGGUUAUGGCGAGUCUUUUCAUUUGAGCCAAUUGACCAACUCAAGUAGCUUCAGUGAUAACACUUAAUGACCAUUUAAUUCAACCUUUUAUCCGAUUGCUAAUUAAAUAUUGGAUACAAUCUUCUAUUUUCAUGGAAAAUUUAUGCUGUGGGAUAAUAAGUGAAUUGUAAUUGUCAUCAUCUUUUACUGCUAUUAUUACCUGUUAUUACAUUCACAUCAACACCAGGAGACAAUCAACGUUCGUUGUUUUUGCUGGAGAAACAGAGAAAACAUUGAGUGUGGAAUAUAUUUUUUCAAGCUUAAUUUAAAUGUGAAAUAAAGGUGGUAAUAAUGAUGAUUGAGAAUGUCAACCUUUCUUUCCGUGAAUCUCAAUCAUCAAGGUUUUUGUCGGAGAGGAGGAUGAAGCAAAGGAUAGGCGAAAAGGCAGUAGCCAGUUUUAUUUUUGGCUUGUUUUGCCUUUUCAACUUCAUUCUUGUGGUCAAUUUGGAAGCAUGAACAUCAUCAUCAACCAAGAACGCAAGCUGAUAAAAUGCUGAUGGAUAAAAAGGCAACGCGAUGAUAAAGAAGAUGAAAAUGAUGAAGUAAAUGACAACUUCAAUUUUGAAUGCUCACAAUUGCUUUCCACCACUAGUAAUGAUCUUAUACUGGCGGAUUGUACCUCACUGCUACUGUUGACUUAAUUAUUAUCGGCAUAAUCAUUGAAAUGUAGUUGCUGUUGACUUAAAUUGUUCAUCUUGAUACAUCUCACUGUUAACAAUUUACUCUCACUGCCUUUCAUUUUCCAAUUCAUUCUCUUUCCAUCAAACUCUUUUCAUUUUUGCUGCCAAUAAAUGGUCACUUUGCCAUUAAGGGACCAGUUGUGUCACUUUCACAAUCAAAUCACCCGGAACAUAUAAAUCAAUCUUGAUUCUCCUCUCAACA